CAGCCGUCCCACUCGCGCCUCAGUCGGUGAACGGAGUAGGUCUUGCGCCGAACAUGCUCACGGGCCGACUGAAGUUCGACCUCCGAGGCGGCUAGGCCGUCGGUGAGUCGGGAGAUCUCCUCCUCGAACCUAGCCUCACGAUCGAUCGAUGACUUCAGCUGGUCGACCAGCGUCGCCUUCUCAGCCUCGGUGAUCUCGACCUUCUUCUUCCAGGCCGCCCAGACAUCGCCGAACCUCCGGUACCCGGCCUCCAGCUCGGAUAUAUUGUAGAUCAGCUGCAA
rnacentral:lncRNA from 1 species